ACACGAUCAACUCUAGUUAAGAGUUGGAACUGGCCUCAUGUGCUGCUUUGCAUAUUUGGUUUGAAUAUAUUGAGUUGAUGAGCCUCCCAAUGUUGCUCAAUGUGUGCUAGCGAGACAGUCGUCCCGAUCUCACAUUAAAGCUUUAUUGCAGGGCUCUAUACACAACUUUAUAAUCAUUAUCAA
rnacentral:misc_RNA from 1 species